CAAGUAGUCCCUCCGUCCGAAAUUACUUGUCAUCAAAAUGGAUGUGUCUAGAACUAAAAUACAUCCCGAUACAUCCAUUUCAAUGACAAGUAUUUUCGGACAGAGGGAGUACAAG
rfam:Triticum aestivum genome assembly, contig: Triticum_aestivum_CS42_TGACv1_scaffold_500514_6BL